CCUACGGGGGGCAGCAGUGGGGAAUAUUGGACAAUGGGGGGAACCCUGAUCCAGCCAUGCCGCGUGUGUGAAGAAGGCCCUCGGGUUGUAAAGCACUUUCAGUGAGGAAGAACGCCUGGUGGUUAAUACCCAUCAGGAAAGACAUCACUCACAGAAGAAGCACCGGCUAACUCCGUGCCAGCAGCCGCGGUAAUACGGAGGGUGCGAGCGUUAAUCGGAAUUACUGGGCGUAAAGCGCGCGUAGGUGGCUUGAUAAGCCGGUUGUGAAAGCCCCGGGCUCAACCUGGGAACGGCAUCCGGAGCUGUCAAGCUAGAGUGCAGGAGAGGAAGGUAGAAUUCCCGGUGUAGCGGUGAAAUGCGUAGAGAUCGGGAGGAAUACCAGUGGCGAAGGCGGCCUUUUGGACUGACACUGACACUGAGGUGCGAAAGCGUGGGUAGCAAACAGGAUUAGAUACCCCGGUAGUC
rnacentral:rRNA from 1 species